rfam:Toxocara canis scaffold1171, whole genome shotgun sequence.
GAGGCAAUAGCUCAGUGGUAGAACCCCCGCUUCACGUGCGGGGAGACCCGGGUUGGAUUCCCGGCUGCUUCC